rnacentral:misc_RNA from 1 species
GAUGAAGAACGUAGCGAAACGCGAUAGUAAUGUGAAUUGCAGAAUCCAGUGAAUCAUCGAAUCUUUGAACGCACAUUGCGCCCGCCAGCAUUCUGGCGGGCAUGCCUGUUCGAGCGUCAUUUCAACCCUCGACCUCCCCUUGGGGAGGUCGGCGUUGGGGACCGGCAGCACACCGCCGGCCCUGAAAUGGAGUGGCGGCCCGUCCGCGGCGACCUCUGCGCAGUAAUACAGCUCGCACCGGGACCCCGACGCGGCCACGCCGUAAAACACCCAACUUCUGAACGUUGACCUCGAAUCAGGUAGGACUACCCGCUGAACUUAAGCAUAUCAAUAAGCGGAGGA